rnacentral:tRNA from 1 species
AAAAACUUAGUUAAAUAAUAACAUUAGUUUGUCAAACUAAAAUUAUCAAAUAGAUAGUUUUUA